CACGUAGGCACCAAGCGUUGUCCGGAUUUAUUGGGCGUAAAGAGCGCGCAGGCGGUCGUACAAGUCGCGUGUGAAAGCCCCCGGCUCAACUGGGGAGGGUCACGCGAUACUGUUCGACUCGAAGGCAGGAGAGGGAAGCAGAAUUCCCGGUGUAGUGGUGAAAUGCGUAGAUAUCGGGAGGAAUACCAGUGGCGAAGGCGGCUUCCUGGCCUGUUCUUGACGCUGAGGCGCGAAAGCUAGGGUAGCAAACGGG
rnacentral:rRNA from 1 species